CUUACCGGCUCAGUACUAUUUUGAACGGAAAAACAAAACGACGGGGGCGUAUGUAUUCAUUACAAGUGUAUUUAGCACGCAAAAGACAAUCCAAACAUACAUGGCCUUAGAUUUUUAUUUUUGAACAGUUCCCUUAGGCUUCGUGCUGGGCUAGGAACAGAAGCGAGGACCUGGAAGGCGGCGCGCGCGAGGUGCUCGGGGAAAUGCCCGCGCGAGUCCGGCGCUCUUUGGAGGCAGCAGGAUCAUGCUCAUGACGCGCGGGUUACGGCGUGCCGCCGUGCCGCGCCUCGCGCGCCGCUACAUGUGUGCCACGGCGGCUCGACGUACCACAACGUCGGGUUUGGUAGCGCCCGGCGCCGGAGCGAGGUUCCACGACUACGACGCCGCCGUCACGGCGUGCGUCGAGAGGCGGGCGCUCAAGCAAGGAAGGCAGGUGCACGCGCACAUGGUCACGGCGAGGUACCGCCCGCCCGUGUACCUGGCCACGCGGCUGGUCAUCAUGUACGCGAGGUGCGGGGCGCUGGACGACGCGCGCAACGUGCUCGACGGGAUGCCGGAACGGAAUGUGGUGUCCUGGACGGCCAUGAUCUCUGGGUACUCGCAGACCGGCCAGCAUGCCGAGGCCUUGGAGCUGUUCAUCCGGAUGCUUAGAGCUGGAUGCAAGCCUAAUGAAUUCACUUUUGCAACUGUUCUUACAUCAUGUUCUGGCCCUCAGAGCAUACACCAGGUCAAGCAAGUCCAUUCUCUCAUUGCCAAAACAAAUUUUGAGUCGCACAUGUUUGUUGGGAGCUCCCUUCUUGACAUGUACGCCAAGGCAGGGAAUAUCCAAGAAGCUCGGAGGGUGUUCGACAUGCUUCCAGAAAGAGACACUGUUUCCUGUACCGCCAUUAUAUCUGGCUAUGCUCAGCUGGGCCUUGAUGAUGAAGCCUUGGACUUGUUCAGGCAGUUGUACAGUACAGGGAUGCAAUGCAAUUAUGUUACUUUUACGACCCUUCUCACUUCAUUAUCUGGGCUGGCCUCCCUGGAUUAUGGCAGGCAAGUUCAUGGACUAAUACUUCGUAAAGAGUUACCAUUUUUCGUUGUUCUACAGAAUUCUUUGAUUGAUAUGUACUCCAAAUGUGGCAAGUUGUUAUACUCAAGGAGGGUAUUUGAUCACAUGCCACAGAGAUCAGCCAUCAGUUGGAAUGCAAUGCUUAUGGGAUAUGGUAGACAUGGCAUAGGGCAUGAAGUCGUUCAGCUCUUUAGAAGUAUGACUGAAGAAGUGAAGCCUGACAGUGUUACCCUGUUAGCUGUUUUAUCUGGUUGUAGUCACGGUGGGCUGGUUGAUGAGGGGCUUGACAUUUUCGAUCUUAUAGUAAAAGAACAAAAUGCAGUUCUCAGCAUUGGGCAUUAUGGGUGUGUUAUUGAUCUUCUUGGACGCUCUGGACGACUACAGAAGGCUUUAGAUUUGAUACGAGAUAUGCCAUUUGAGCCGACUCCAGCAAUUUGGGGUUCAUUGCUUGGUGCUUGCAGAGUUCAUAUUAACGUUAGUGUUGGUGAGGUUGUUGCUCAGAAGCUUCUGGACAUGGAGCCAGGAAAUGCUGGAAACUAUGUGAUACUUUCUAACAUUUAUGCUGCUGCUGGAAUGUGGAAAGAUGUUUUCAGAGUUAGGAACUUAAUGCUGGAGAAGACGGUAACCAAGGAACCAGGGCAGAGCUGGAUAAUUCUUGACAAGGUUAUCCACACCUUUCGCUCAAGUGAUCGUUUCCAUCCCAGGAAGAAAGAUAUAGAUGCUAAGAUAAAGGAGAUAUAUGUUGAUAUUAAAGCAGCUGGGUUUGUUCCGGACCUGAGUUGUGUUCUGCACGAUGUUGACGAUGAGCAGAAAGAACGCAUGCUUCUUGGUCACAGUGAGAAGCUGGCAGUAACUUUUGGACUGAUGAACACCCCUCCAGGCUUGACUAUCCGGGUUAUGAAGAAUCUUCGCAUCUGUGUUGACUGCCAUAAUUUUGCGAAGUUUGUUUCAAAAGUUUACCGAAGGGAGAUAUCUCUCAGGGAUAAAAAUCGGUUUCAUCUACUUACAGAUGGAGCUUGCACUUGUGGAGACUACUGGUGAAAGAAACAUUGAUGUGUUAUCCAUGUAGCUUUGCUGAUCAGCAAAGCUAUUUUUGUCCAGAUAAUACUGCUUACAGGAUAAGCAAUGUAAUGCUGAAUACGAGAGCAGUGAAUGAGGAAUGCUAUGUUCAUUCCGAGUUCAGUUAUCAGACAGAUCACCAAAGAUUUGCUAGAAAGAGAUACAGUUGGUUCUUCUUAGCACUCUAUACUUGAAGGUUGCACUCUCUCUCUCUCUCUCUGUGUCUCAAUUAUCAUUGGUCGUUGCAGCAAGGGCAAUUCAGAGGUUUAGGUUGUAUCAUGGGUUCAUAUGGCAGGUCCCACAAAAAAGAUGUACUAAGGUUAGUAGCUGCUACAACUGAAGCUAUUGUUCAUGCAACCGCAAGGUUUCUAUUGUUUGUCUUGGAAUGAAAUAAUAAUGCCAGGGUCCUCCAAAUUAUCUGGCUGACAGUGUCUUUUGUGGAAACUUGUUUGCUUGUAGCUAUAAUUGAUUCCUAUUGUUCUUCUGAUCAUGGAACUACAAUGUUGACAAGACCAUGGUUGGCACUAGCUAUUGUGGAAGCUUUUGUGCAUUUACCUAUAAAAAAUAUCAUUAUUGGUUAGCUAUUGUGGAACCUUUUGUGCGUGUAGCUUCAACUGCUGCAUUACCUUAUCUCAGUCUCUUAUCUUGAAAUUAAGAAAAAUCCUGAGGUUUUGAAAAAAAAAGGUUCCCAUAUUGAGGACCCAAUGCAGUAGCAGGGAAUGAUUCUUGGUGUUUGUUCAUGAACUAGGAAGAAGCCAAAUUUUGAGAAAGGCUACCAUGGCUCACUAAUGAGGCCAAUCACCUGUUGCGUGUUUAAGCUGGACUCCGGUGGAACAUGAAGACAGUACAUUUACAUGCACAAACCAUUGGAGAACUCCAGCUGGAAGCUUGCACACUCUCUCUCAAUUAUCAUUGGUUGUCGAGCCAAGGGCAAUUCAGAGUUUUAGGUUGUAUCACGGGCUCAUAUGGCAGGUCCCACAAAAAAGACGUAUCAAGCAAGAAGCCAAAAUUUGAGAAUGGCGCCAUGUAUGGCAUUCAGCGAUCGUGGUACCUGUCGCACAUGUACUGCGGGCAGGGUCGGAAGCCCUGUUCAACGCCGUGCCCGGGCUGGACGGGCUGCCCGGCUCGGUGUCCCUGGAGCUGGGCACCAGGCCAGGGUGCUUUGUGACGGCCCCCCAGCGGCGCAAGGGGCUACAGCGCCGGCGACAAGGCCCAGGUCGGCUGCCUGACCAGCUGCGGCAGCCGCAACACGGCGUUCCGGAAGGCGGUGAGCUUCACGCAGGCGGCGCCACUGCGGCGGUACCACCCGCUGAGCUUCAUGGCGAAGGGCACGGAGAGGAGCUUCGUGCUGGAGCCGCUGCGGAGCCUCCAGGACGAGUUCUACACCGUCUACUUCAACCUGUUCACCGCCGCCGCCGACAGCUGAAACGCGGCGCUGAACAACUGCCGAUCCUCCAUGUGACUAUGUGAGACUGGGAGGGCAGACAGACCAAAGCUUCAGAGAGUGGCGGCAGUCUGGCUCUGGCAGUGACAGAGACACAUGCGCUACGGCUACACAAUUACUACCGGUACCGUUGGAGUAGUAUCUCCCAUCACCAAAACAUGAAAACAAUAGUAAUGCUGUUGUGUUGCAUGUUCCUUGAGUGAAAACAGUGCUCUUGCAUCUUGAUGUGCGAUAGAGAGAGAGAGAGAGAGGGAGCCCGAUGUGGUUGAGAUUUCUAGAGGUUGGUUAAGAUCUCGAUCAAUGCGCCUCACUUGCAUACAUUCAUGUGUGUGUGUGACAUAAAUGUCGUCCAGUUAGGUACAUAUAUAUCAUAUAUGGUAGCAUUAUUGUUCAUGUGGA